UACGUAGGGGGCAAGCGUUGUCCGGAAUCAUUGGGCGUAAAGAGCGUGUAGGCGGUCCGGUAAGUCGGCUGUGAAAGUCCAGGGCUCAACCCUGGGAUGCCGGUCGAUACUGCCGGACUAGAGUUCGGAAGAGGCGAGUGGAAUUCCCGGUGUAGCGGUGAAAUGCGCAGAUAUCGGGAGGAACACCAGUGGCGAAGGCGGCUCACUGGACCGGUACUGACGCUGAGGCGCGAAAGCGUGGGGAGCAAACGGG
rnacentral:rRNA from 1 species